UAACUACUCCCUCCGUCCCGAAUUACUUGUCGCAGGUAUGGAUGUAUCUAGAUGUAUUUUAGUUCUAGAUACAUCCAUUUCUGCGACGAGUAAUUUGGAACGGAGGGAGUAUUAU
rfam:Triticum aestivum genome assembly, contig: Triticum_aestivum_CS42_TGACv1_scaffold_290422_4AL